AGCAGCCGCGGUAAUUCCAGCUCCAAUAGCGUAUAUUAAAGUUGCUGCAGUUAAAAAGCUCGUAGUUGAAUUUCGGGGUCAAUAUGUUGGUCGUGCCUUGGUACGUACUAGCUUAUUGAUUUCUCCUUUCUGACGAACCAUGAUGUCAUUAAUUUGGUGUCAUGGGGAAUCAGGACUGUUACUUUGAAAAAUUAGAGUGUUUAAAGCAGGCUCGCGCUUGAAUACAUUAGCAUGGAAUAAUGAAAUAGGACAUUUGAUUCUAUUUUGUUGGUUUCUAGGAUCGAUGUAAUGAUUAAUAGGGAUAGUUGGAGGCAUUAGUAUUCAAUUGUCAGAGGUGAAAUUCUUGGAUUUAUUGAAGACUAACUACUGCGAAAGCAUUUGCCAAGGAUGUUUUCAUUAAUCAAAACGAAAGUUAGGGGAUCGAAGACGAUCAGAUACCGUCGUAGUCUUAACCAUAAACUAUGCCGACUAGGGAUCGGAUGAUGUUAAUUUUUUAAUGACUCAUUCGGCGCCUUACGGG
rnacentral:rRNA from 1 species